rnacentral:rRNA from 1 species
CCUACGGGUGGCUGCAGUGGGGAAUAUUGGACAAUGGGCGAAAGCCUGAUCCAGCCAUGCCGCGUGUGUGAAGAAGGCCUUCGGGUUGUAAAGCACUUUCAGUGGGGAAGAAAGCCUUGGGGCUAAUACCCUCGAGGAAGGACAUCACCCACAGAAGAAGCACCGGCUAACUCCGUGCCAGCAGCCGCGGUGAAUACGGAGGGUGCGAGCGUUAAUCGGAAUUACUGGGCGUAAAGCGCGCGUAGGCGGUCUGAUAAGCCGGUUGUGAAAGCCCCGGGCUCAACCUGGGAACGGCAUCCGGAACUGUCAGGCUAGAGUGCAGGAGAGGAAGGUAGAAUUCCCGGUGUAGCGGUGAAAUGCGUAGAGAUCGGGAGGAAUACCAGUGGCGAAGGCGGCCUUCUGGACUGACACUGACGCUGAGGUGCGAAAGCGUGGGUAGCAAACAGGAUUAGAUACCCGUGUAGUC